rnacentral:rRNA from 1 species
UACGGAGGAUUCAAGCGUUAUCCGGAUUCAUUGGGUUUAAAGGGUGCGUAGGCGGGCUAUUAAGUCAGUGGUGAAAUCCUGCAGCUUAACUGCAGAACUGCCGUUGAUACUGAUAGUCUUGAGUUUGGUUAAGGUAGGCGGAAUGUGUAAUGUAGCGGUGAAAUGCUUAGAUAUUACACAGAACACCAAUUGCGUAGGCAGCUUACUGAGCCGACACUGACGCUGAGGCACGAAAGCGUGGGGAUCAAACAGGAUUA